AUCUGAAUAGCUCAGUCAGUACAGCAUGAGAAUCUUAAUCUCAGGGUUGUGGGUUCAGGACCCGUGUUGGGUG